UACGAAGGGGGCUAGCGUUGCUCGGAAUCACUGGGCGUAAAGCGCACGUAGGCGGAUCUUUAAGUCGGGGGUGAAAUCCUGGAGCUCAACUCCAGAACUGCCUUCGAUACUGGGGAUCUUGAGUCCGGAAGAGGUGAGUGGAACUGCGAGUGUAGAGGUGAAAUUCGUAGAUAUUCGCAAGAACACCAGUGGCGAAGGCGGCUCACUGGUCCGGUACUGACGCUGAGGUGCGAAAGCGUGGGGAGCAAACAGG
rnacentral:rRNA from 1 species